rnacentral:rRNA from 1 species
CCCGGCGCACGGGUGAGUAACACGUAUGCAAUCCACCUGUAACAGGGGGAUAACCCGGAGAAAUCCGGACUAAUACCCCAUAAUAUGGGCGCUCCGCAUGGAGAGCCCAUUAAAGAGAGCAAUUUUGGUUACAAACGAGCAUGCGCUCCAUUAGCCAGUUGGCGGGGUAACGGCCCACCAAAGCGACGAUGGAUAGGGGUUCUGAGAGGAAGGUCCCCCACAUUGGAACUGAGACACGGUCCAA